UCCAAUAACCUCACCAUUCUUGCCUUUUACCUCUCAAUUCAUCCAACUUUGUUAAUUUUCAAAGCUUCUUGAAAAGAAAAAAAGAAAAAAAAAAAAAGAGUAGAACUUAGUUGCAGAAUUUUUGAGAUACGGAGAACCCUAACAAAUCUAAGAGGCAAUAUCAUGAAAUUGAAACAAAGAAACUUAGACCACACGAAGAG
rnacentral:lncRNA from 1 species